rnacentral:rRNA from 1 species
UUGAAUUGAGAACAAUGUACAAUCGUUAUCGAUAAACAAUUGGAGGGCAAGUCUGGUGCCAGCAGCCGCGGUAAUUCCAGCUCCAAUAGCGUAUAUUAACGUUGUUGCAGUUAAAAAGCUCGUAGUUGAAGUUUAGAUAAUUUAUUGAAAGUGUUUGUAUUCGUACAUUCUACUUUUAUGUAAGUUAUCGACAUCCAGGUGGGUGCCAUGGUUCCGCAAGGAACUGUGGUACUAGACUGGUCAUUUACUGUGAGAAAAUUAGAGUGUUUAAAGCAGACUUUUAUUCAGUUUGAAUAGAUUAGCAUGGAAUAAUAAGAUUGGCUUUCAUAGUCGAUUUUUUGGUUUGUUUAUGAAAGCAAGAUUAAUAGGGACAGUUGGGGGUAUUCAUAUUCAAUAGCUAGAGGUGAAAUUCUAUGAUUUAUGGAAGAUGAACUAGUGCGAAAGCA